GUCUCAGUCCCUAACUAGCUCAGUUGAUUAGAGUUUGGUGCUGAUAAUACCAGGAUCGCAGGUUUAAUCCCUGUAUGAGACA